UAACUAUGGGUUGAGACUUGGAAGCUUCUUCAUGGGGAGCAGGGUGCCAAGACAAGGGAUGGAGGAGUCAUUCUGGGGGCGAGUCCUAACAAGAGCCCAGGGAUGAGAUAAGAGGCAUUGUGCAUGUUAUGCUGACCACAAAACAAGACCGGCCAAGAAGAGACUGGAAGGCACAUUGUUUCUGGUGGCCUGAUCACAGAAAAUGGUGGAAAUCUGGUUUUUAAUCACUCAGGAGAGUUUUUUCUGGCU
rnacentral:lncRNA from 1 species